AAAUGGUAUUGCAACCUCUAAUAUUUUCUGUUAUUCAUAGCACAGAAUAAUAGAAAUGUAAACAGUCCAUUUUAAAUUAGGGAUGUUUGUUCCCUAAUUUAAAAAACAAAGGCUUUUUACUUAAAUAUCUGUUUACACGAGCACCUCUAUUUUGGUAUGCAGCUGCAGACUUGCUACAGCAUAAUUGAUUUGGCAUGAUUCCAUGAUGUAACAAUGCAGGUAAUAUAAAAUAGAGGUGGAAACAGCAAUCUGGCAUGCAGUGAAUACACUGAAUCAUAUCUAGAAAAGUUGGAGCUGCUUGAUGUCUCUGUAGUUGUAUUACCCAAUAACUAUGAAGCAGGAGCUGCACAGUAACUCAGAGGAUGGGACAGCAAGUUCAUUUAGCAAGAGGCCAAUCUUCCAUGAUAUGUGUUGAGAUAACCAGCUUCCAUUCAUCUUGAGAUUAGAUUGGAAGGUCUUUGAGGCAAUUUCAGUUGUGAUCCACCACACUGCAGAUCCGAGACAUGGGUCUUAGGGAGGAUCUUCCACAGGAGUCAUUUAAUAAAGAAGAUGCAAUGAAACUUGUCUUAUGUGAUAAGCUCAAAGAACUAACAACUGGUUGCUUAAGGAAGAGGGCUGGAAUACAGGCACUCAAACUUCACUAGCGUGGACCUCAACAACUCUCUUGAAGCUAGAACAAAGUUCAAGGAACACUGAAGAACAGAGGAAGGC